GAUGAACGCUGGCGGCGUGCCUAAUACAUGCAAGUCGAGCGAACAGACGAGGAGCUUGCUCCUCUGACGUUAGCGGCGGACGGGUGAGUAACACGUGGAUAACCUACCUAUAAGACUGGGAUAACUUCGGGAAACCGGAGCUAAUACCGGAUAAUAUAUUGAACCGCAUGGUUCAAUAGUGAAAGACGGUUUUGCUGUCACUUAUAGAUGGAUCCGCGCCGCAUUAGCUAGUUGGUAAGGUAACGGCUUACCAAGGCAACGAUGCGUAGCCGACCUGAGAGGGUGAUCGGCCACACUGGAACUGAGACACGGUCCAGACUCCUGGGAGGCAGCAGUAGGGAAUCUUCCGCAAUGGGCGAAAGCUUGACGGAGCAACGCCGCGUGAGUGAUGAAGGUCUUCGGAUCGUAAAACUCUGUUAUUAGGGAAGAACAAAUGUGUAAGUAACUAUGCACGUCUUGACGGUACCUAAUCAGAAAGCCACGGCUAACUACGUG
rnacentral:rRNA from 1 species